CCGCAUAACAACCGCACACAGCCAACUCGAAAGAUGACCUACUACUGACAAAUACCUUGAACUGAGUAAGGGUAACCUACAAAUCUGCAACUGACUGUCAUAAAUAUGAAACUCACCUUGCCUAAGAGACCUGCGAGUCUCCCUUAUUGCCGCUCCACUAGAGAUCUGCGCAUCUCAAAAUGCUGAAUGCUGCUUCACAUAUUGGAAACCUGUGUGUUUCACACUGCACACAGACUAAAUGCUUGUUGAAUACUAAACAAAACUUCAAUAAAACGAUAUUUACACAAUAAAACUCUACCUCAC